AUGGCCCCUCCGAUGGUUCUCCUCGACCGCGAGAUUGAGUUCCGCCCCGACCCCGACCUGCGGGGAUUCUGGGGCGAUAGAGGGCCACAAACCCGCGAUGCCAUGACCAUGAGCGAUCAAGUCAUGGAGUACCUGCGGACCUUCAAGGCCCGCGCGGUCGUCCACGAUCCGCCGAAACCCUCCUUCCUCGACAUACUGGUGCCGCCGCUAUCCGACCCGCUCCCGCCGCCAUACAUGGGCCUGGACUCGGGCCGCAUCUCCAGCACGGACAAGAACCUGGUCGCCCUCUACGCCGGCGGGUACCGCCCAGGCUCUAGUUUGCCCGGAGGCUAUCUCAUCUACGACGCCUGCAACGACUCCCUCUCCGUCAUCCCCCGGCUCCCCGACGACGACUCCCAGAAAGCCUUGGGGCACCAGUCGGCAGUCGUCAUGUGCGACUCCCAAGGCCAAGGGGACGGCUACCUUCUCGCCGAGCUCGUGGUUCCAGGACUGUCCCGAGCCGAGGUCUGGCUGUGGAAGUCAUCCGCCUCAGAAUGGGCCUUGCUGUCCGGGAGCCAUCCCCUUCCAUCCAGAUCCAGCAGCUUCUCCGUUGACUCGUGCUUCUCUUAUCGGGGCUCUACCCUUUGCUGGGUGGAUCUCUUCCAGGGCAUCUUGCUCUGUCAUCUCAACCAAGACUACUGCAACAGCAAGUUCAGCUUUAUUCACUUGCCACCAGAUUGUCCAACCUAUGAUGUGGACAACCCCGACUAUCCAGACAGCGCCCGCUCAGAGGAGUCCCGUUCUGUCGCCUGUGUUUGUGACCACAUCAAGCUCAUCGCCUUGGAUGAAUGUGGAUUGGAACUCAUCGUCUGGACUCAGUCGCCUCAACUCUCAGGCUGGACCAGAACCUCCAAGUACAAUGUUGAACAAAUCUGGGCAAACGUCAACUACAUGUCUGCUGGUUUGACCAAGCUUGCUCUGUCGCUCCCUGUCCUGAGCAUCCAUCAAGACGAUGUUGUCUUCUUAGUCGUAAAUGAUGACUUGGUGGUGGACCGUCGACUAGUGCGUGAAAUCCAGUAUUUGCUUCGUGUCGACAUGAAGAAUAACCAUGUCCAGGUCUAUCCACAGCCUACAUGGUCUAUUUAUUCCCAGCUCUUGGCCAGUGAGUUCAGUGUGUACCGACGACAGGAUCACCCGAGAGAGAUAGAAGCAAGCGAGUUUGGUAAAAAGUGGAAAGAGGAUGAAGAUUUGAGAUGUUGGUAA
rnacentral:rRNA from 1 species